CGGUGUUUAUCCCGACUGCAUUUGCAACAAUGAAUUUGCAUAUUACGAAAAUAUUACCAAUAAUUGUCGCACUUGUCCAGACGAAACAAAACGGAUCGAAGGAUUUCCCUACUGUACAUGUCUCGAUGAAAACUCAAGCUUCGUCCCAGAAGUUGGUUUUUGUCGCAAGUGUCCAUAUGAUUCGAUCGGUAAAUAUCCGAAUUGUACCUGCAACGAACGCGAUCAUUUGUUUAGUGCUUAUCGGAACUUUUGCUACCCCGACUGUCUUGAACCGUCGAUAACUGGCUUGGAAUUUAAUAUGACGAAUUGUGUGAACCGAUAUGCCUAUCCGGGACGUCAAUGUCCUCCGAAUUCGAUUGGAACCAGUCCCAACUGCAAAUGUAUUGAGGACGGUAAGACAUUUUAUACGUACGGCUGGGGCUGUCACGACAUUGGUGACAUAGCUUUCGGCCUUCAGUAUUGUCCCAACAAGAGGGAGAAGUGGCCCCAGUGUAGCGUAUCAAUUGAUCCGAAAGUAACGCUUAGCUUAAUUGGAUAAUUUGGACUAUCUUGACCUACAACUGUGAUUACCGUUAUUCAAUUUUAGGUUAAGCUUCAAACAAUUUGUUGUUCAUUUGAGUAGCUUUGUGUGCUCGAAUGAAUAUGACGGAUAUAGUUCUUAAAGUCACUGAAAACGAUGUCAUGAAAAUCAAUUCAAAUAAACUUUUUACGUCUUAUA